rnacentral:lncRNA from 1 species
ACUACACUCUCUGAUCACACUAGGCUUUUUCCAAAUAUGCUUUUUCUUCCCUUGAGCUGGCACAUGGAUGUCACAGUAAUCCCAUUUUGACAAUACGUACAUGAACAACAGCACCCUGUUUGCAUAGCCACCACUCCUCCACAUAAACCCAAGUUAGAGUCACAGUGAACCAGAACUCCAAAUUCAUUAUGUUCUUCUUGUUUCCAUGUCUUGAUACCUGUGUUGGUAUCUGCAAUGACCCAUGCCCCUUUCUCACUAUUUCCCUUGCCCCUUCCAGUCUAUGUGACCAACUCUGAUUCACCUUCUAGAUUCAUUCCUGACUACUCUAUCGCUAUCCCCCCAGCCACAUGUGACUCAGG